GGAGGGAGGUCGCUAACACACCCGUUGCUUCUGCCGGCUGGCGACACUGCAAGGAGCGAGCCAGCGAACGACGCCCGCCCAGGACUCAGAGGCGCAGCAAAUGAAUGACAUGCCAGGCAAGUAUUUGGCACUGUUGAUAGAGCGAAGAACAAAACUGCUUCAUGAAACUUAUACUCCAAGAAGGGAAACUGACCAUAAAUGAGAUAAGUCCCUUUAACAUUUCAUAUAAUAAGGGCUUGGUGAUAAUGAACUCCUUGAUCAAUGGAGUGGACCAGAAGAAAGCAAAUAAUGGCCAAACAGAAAAGAGUCAAGAAGCAAGAAUUCAAAGAAAUGAGGAGAGUCUUAGGAACCUCCAGAACAUCUUUAAACGCUCCAACAUCCGAAUUAUAGGGGCACCAGAAGGGGGAAAGGAACAGCCACCAGUGGAAAACUUAUUUGAACAAAUAAUAAAGGAGAAUUUCCCCAAUCUGGCAAAGGAAAUAGACUUCCAGGAAAUCCAGGAAGCUCAGAGAAUCCCAAAGAAGUUGGACCCAAGAAUAAACACACCAAGGCACAUCAUAAUUACAUUAGCUAAAAUAAAUCUUUUAUUUUAGAAUAAUUUACAAAAAGUACAGACAGUUUUCAAAUACCCUUCACUCAGUUUCUCCUAAUGUUAACAUCUUGCAUGAUGGUAGAACAUCUGUCAAAAUGAAGAAACUGACAUUGGUGUAUUGCUAUUAAUGAAACUGUACAGCUUUUUUUAAAAUUUCACCAGUUUUUUCCACUAAUGAUCUUUUUCUCUUCCAGGAUCCCUCGAGGAUAGUACAUUACAUUUCAUUGUCAUGUAUUUUUAGUCUCCUUGAUCUGUGACAGUUUCUGAGACUCUCCUCAUUUUUCAUGACCUUGACAGUUUUAAAGACUGCUGGUUGAGUAUUUUGUGGAAUAUUUCUCAAUUUGAAUUUGUCUGAAAUGUCAUUUUCAUUGCACCAUAACAAGGGAAACACGAUAUCAAAGUGACUAUCACCAGCCUUGAUCUUUUGGUUAAAGUAAUGUAUACCAGGUUAAUGUAGUUAUUUUUAAUUAAAAGAAAACUACCAAUACAACCUCCAGAUAUAGAAAACUUAGAUAUUUACAAAUAUGAACCUCAAAGUAUUAGAUUUUCAUUAUGACAACUGCAUAAAACAUUUAAAAAUGACUAUAUAUUUAUUCCAGUAGUA